GUACUCGUUCGGCGGUACAUAUACUAAAAUUGGAACGAUACAGAGAAGAUUAGCAUGGCCCCUGCGCAAGAAUGACAUGCAAAAAGCCGGUGCGGUAGCUUAGUGUG